GUAAUUGGAAUGAUGGAAAUUUAAACCCUUUUUAAAGUAUCAAUUGGAGGGCAAGUCUGGUGCCAGCAGCCGCGGUAAUUCCAGCUCCAAUAGCGUAUAUUAAAAUUGUUGCAGUUAAAAAGCUCGUAGUUGAAGUUCUGCUAAAAGUAACCGGUCUGCUUUGAAUAAAAGUGGUAUCUUGGUAUGUAUUUAGCAAUGAUGUCCUUUGAAGUGUUUUUUACUUUAUUGUAAUAAAGCAUAUUCAGGACUUUUACUUUGAGAAAAUUAGAGUGUUUCUAGCAGGCCAACGCUUUGAAUACUGCAGCAUGGAAUAAUAAGAUAGGAUUUUAGUUCUACAUUAUUGGUUUUAAGAGCUAAAUUAAUGAUUGAUAGGGACAGUUGGGGGCAUUUGUAUUUAACUG
rnacentral:rRNA from 1 species